rnacentral:rRNA from 1 species
CGGUCGACCGGCGCACGGGUGAGUAACGCGUAUCCAACCUUCCCAUUAUUGUGGGAUAACCUGCCGAAAGGCAGACUAAUACCGCAUAGUCUUCGAUGACGGCAUCAGAUUUGAAGUAAAGAUUUAUCGGUAAUGGAUGGGGAUGCGUCUGAUUAGCUUGUUGGCGGGGUAACGGCCCACCAAGGCGACGAUCAGUAGGGGGUUCUGAGAGGAAGGUCCCCCACAUUGGAACUGAGACACGGUCCAAACUCCUACGGGAGGCAGCAGCC